ACCAGGAGAGCUCUGCAAGUUUCCAGAAAGGAGAAACUUCCUCUAUUUGUCUUUUUAAGACAGUGGGAGAAUUGGAAGGCUGGGACAUCAAAAGUGCCAAAGGACAAAGACAUUUUUAUUCUAAGGUGAGGAUUCUUCUCCUCCUUUGAUUCAUUACCCAUAUAGACACUGGCAAAAAGAAAGGCUCCUCAAAAUCCUGCUGUGAAAUAAGAGGCCGCUGGAAGUCCUUCUGAGGUCAGAAGAAACAAUCAGAAUCCUCAAGAAAAUAGGAAUGAGGAAAACAGCUUAAUAGUGAGCUAAG